AUUGAACGCUGGCGGCGUGCUUAACACAUGCAAGUCGAUCGGUAACAGGUGUAGCAAUACAUGCUGACGAGAGGCGGACGGGUGAGUAAUGCUUGGGAAUCUGCCUAUUAGUGGGGGACAACCCGGGGAAACUCGGGCUAAUACCGCAUACGCUCUACGGAGGAAAGCCGGGGACCGCAAGGCCUGGCGCUAAUAGAUGAGCCCAAGUCGGAUUAGCUAGUUGGUAGGGUAACGGCCUACCAAGGCGACAAUCCGUAGCUGGUCUGAGAGGACGACCAGCCACACCGGAACUGAGACACGGUCCGGACUCCUACGGGAGGCAGCAGUGGGGAAUAUUGGACAAUGGGGGCAACCCUGAUCCAGCGACGCCGCGUGGGUGAAGAAGGCCUGCGGGUUGUAAAGCCCUUUCGGUGGGGAAGAAAAGUCUCGACCUAAUACGUCGGGACCUUGACGUAACCACUAAAGAAGCACCGGCUAACUCUGUGCCAGCAGCCGCAGUAAC
rnacentral:rRNA from 1 species